CUAAGACGUCAACGGAUAGGAAGACUUCGUAUAAAACGGUGAUGGUUAUCGUACAACACCAUUCACCUCAGCAAUGGAUCGAAGAUCUUCCGAGAGACUCGACAUCCUAGUAGGAGCAUCCUUUCAGAGAAAUCGUAGAAAAACAGCGGAAGCCCGGAAUGCGGCCCGAAAGGGACCAACUCCGAUCGGACGACCAGUUUACGAUUUUCUAAAGGAUAGAUGCGACGGUUUACAAUUAUCUUCGCAUGACAAGAUAAAUGAUAAACUUCCGAAAAGAUAAAUGUCAACUUUCCGAAAAGAUAAAUGUCAACUUUCCCGAUAAACACGAAAGCCGACGAAAAUGGAAAAAGUCCAGCCCACGGCAGACUCAGCCCACCAAGGAUAGACCGUCAUAUGGGAGUAUAUAAGCAAUGCUAGGAGCAGAGGAAGGGGGAUCCGAAAUCAGAAGAAAGAAACCACUCCAGAGCAAUUUAGAACUUAGGCGCUUAUUUCCUUUUUAGCGAGCUGCGACUCAACUAGGUUAGAUCUAGGUUUCGAGACUAGCGACGAUCGACAGCUCUUACAGCCGAGAUCUCGACCUGUUGUCCAAACGUUCUCCGCAGAUUCGGAAAUAAGAUUCUUUCUUUUUGCUCUAUUCAUUUUACGCAUUUAUUCUCGAAUUAGACUUGUUUUAAAUUUGUCGUGCGUGGCCCAGCAGAUAGCCGGGAUCCUCGGGGAAAACUAGGUCAACUUAGUUUUCCUACGUUUCAACUUAACUAAAAUCGACAGUGCGAAUUUCGGUUCCCACAGUUAGUAAGUUAAUUUAGUCAUUUUACUUUAAGGGUUCAUUUUAGGGUAUUGGACGACUUAAUAUUUAGUCUUCUGUUCCCAGACGACUAAAUAUUAGGUCGUCUGAUGUACAUUAUCAGCCAUAAUAAGUCGUCUAAACCGGACCAAACCUUAAAGUUUACCAAUGUACUUUUAAAGAUAACCGGAUUAUUUACCCAAUAUAUAAGGUGAUUUUUUUUUUCAUUUUCCGCGAACAGAAAACCCUAAUAGUUCUCUCUCACCGGCGAUAUCAAAGGCGAUUCGAAUUCCCACUAUUUCCGAACAACCAUCGUUCUCAACGUCGGCUAUCUAUCUCACUUCAUUCUCACUAUUGUCGCCGCAGCUUCUUCUAACCCUAGCGCCGCCGAUUCCUCUAAACCCUAGCGCCCCCGCUUCCACUAUUUCCAAACAAACCGUCGCCCUCGCCACCGUGCUCACCAACGUUCUCACCGCCGCUUCCUCUAAACACUAGCUAGCACUGCCGCUUCUUCUAAACCCUAGCGCUGCUGCUUCUUCUAAACCCUAGCGCCGCCGUUUCUUCUCUGUAAACCGUAGCGCCGUUUCUCUGUAAACCCUAACGCCGAUCUAUAACCACAAUGACGAGUACUCGAACUCCUUCUGCGACUAAUCAGACAAAAAGAUGGAUAUUCCAGAACUCCCCCGUAGGUUAUACACAUUAGGGGAAGAGCCAGAACCCCACAAUAGCAUUUCGUAUCAUACGGAUAACACGAAGUUGCAUACUGCUCUUAGGGAAGCUCUCACUGAUGC